rnacentral:lncRNA from 1 species
CGCACACUUGAUCCAACGUUGCCAAGUCACUAAAAUCUCAAUAUUUGACACCAAUUUGACAAUUGACAGAUUAUCUUUUAAAUAAAUAAAUAAAUGUAAAUAGUUAUCCUAACUGAAAACAAAGUCGGGAGCAAAGGAUUAAUGGAUAUGUAAAAGCCAUAAGGAGAACAGAACUAAAAUUAAAAUAUGAAAGAAUAUGCAAUAAACAUUGUAUAAAAGUGGAAAGCCAGCCACUUUAAAAAGAUAUUCCAAACUAAAACAUGGGUUACCAAAGCAGGCAAUAAAAAGAAAAGGUAAUCUAGAAUGCAAGAGAAGAGCUGAUGAAAGAAGUAAAUGUAAAGAAAAUAAUGAAGAGACUUCUCUGGACCAUGAACAAACACCAGCUCUUUUAUACAGUAUGUCCCUGUAAGUUGUAUCCAUAUGGAAAACUUUUUUAUUAUUAAUUUUACGAAAAAAACUUAUUCCUUAUAAAAAGCUCUGCAUGGUCCAAAAUCUAAGAUUUAACUAUAAAAUAUCAAAUUUUUUGAAUAUUAUACGAGUUAUGUCAAAAAGUUUGAAUUUCACUCAAGAGUAAAGUAGCUUUAUUUUUCGUAAUAUUGGAAAUUGCUAUUAUGAAAAGUUGUUUGGAAUUAAAAACUAUAUUCUAAUAUGCAACUACAUCCUUCUAAUUGAAAAAUUUUUUUUUUUUUAAAUUAUGUAUAACUCAUUAUUUUUUCAGUUAUUUCAAUUCUGAUAACUCUUUUAUUAUUAAUUUUACGAAAAAAAGUGAUUCUUAAUAAAAAGUUCUGGAUGGUCUAAAACUUAAAAUACAACCAUCUUAUAUCAAAUUUUAUCAAUUUUAUACGAGGUAUGUCAAAAAAGAUAAAUUUAGAUCAAAAGUAAAGAACCUUUAUAGUUCAGAAUAUUUCAAUUAGAAGAAUGUAAUUACAUACUGAAACAUAAUUUUUAAUUCUAAAUAACUUUUCAUAAUAACAAUUUUCGAUAUUGUGAAAAAUAAACGUAUUUUACUCUUGAGCGAAAUUCAUAUUUUUUGACAUACCUCGUAUAAAAUUGAUAAAAUUUGACAAAAGAUGGUUGUAUUUUAGAUUUUAGGUCAUGCAAAACUUUUUAUUAAUAAUCACUUUUUUUCGUAAAAUUAAUAAUAAAAGAGUUAUCUGAAUUAAAAUAACCGAAAAUAAUGUUAGUUACCCAAAUUUUUUCAAAAAAAAAAAUUUUCAAUUAGAAGGAUGUAAUUGCAUACUAGAAUACAGUUUUUAAUUCCAAACAACUUUUCAUAAUAGAAAUUUUCAAUAUUGUGAAAAAUAAAGCUACUUUACUCUUGAGUGAAAUUCAAACUUUUUGACAUACCUCGUAUAAUAUUCAAAAAAUUUGAUAUUUGAUGGUUAAAUCUUAGGUUUUGGACCAUGCAGAGCUUUUUAUAAAGAAUAACUUUUUUUCGUAAAAUUAAUAAUAAAAAAGUUUUCCAUAUGGAUACAACUUACAGGGACAUACUGUAUAUGUAGAAAAAGGAAAAACUGCUGGAACUUUAAUUUAAAGGCUUUUGACUAGUGAAGAUUUGGAUAAACAACAGGAGUUACUUUGGGCUAUAGCUACGUGCAAAUUUAUUUUCUUGUGGCUUCCUAUGUUUAUUCUUAUUAACUAUAUCUACACUUUGAUAUGUUUUUAGUCGCAUGAAGAUUUUAUAGUUUAUUAUUUUAUGUAUAUUGUUAUAUUUGUGUUGAAUAAACAUUAUUAUUAUUAUUA